ACCCGCUGAACUUAAGCAUAUCAAUAAGCGGAGGAAAAGAAACUAACAAGGAUUCCCCUAGUAACUGCGAGUGAAGCGGGAAGAGCUCAAAUUUGAAAUCUGGCGGUUCUUUGACUGUCCGAGUUGUAAUCUAGAGAAGUGCUACCUGUGCUGGACCAUGUACAAGUCUCCUGGAAUGGAGCAUCAUAGAGGGUGAGAAUCCCGUCUUUGACAUGGACUACCUGUACAUUAUGGUGCGCUCUCAAAGAGUCGAGUUGUUUGGGAAUGCAGCUCAAAAUGGGUGGUAAAUGCCAUCUAAAGCUAAAUAUUGGCGAGAGACCGAUAGCGAACAAGUACCGUGAGGGAAAGAUGAAAAGAACUUUGGAAAGAGAGUUAAACAGUACGUGAAAUUGCUGAAAGGGAAACGCUUGAAGUCAGUCACGUUGGCUAGAAAUCAGCCUUGCUUUUGCUUGGUGUACUUUCUGGUUGAUGGGUCAGCAUCAAUUUUGACCAUUGGAUAAAGUCUUUGGGAAUGUGGCAUCUUUGGAUGUGUUAUAGCCCAUUGUCACAUACGAUGGUUGGGAUUGAGGAACUCAGCACGCCGCAAGGCCAGGUUUCGACCAUGUUCGUGCUUAGGAUGCUGGCAUAAUGGCUUUAAUCGACCCGUCUUGAAACACGGACCAAGGAGUCUAACAUGCCUGCGAGUGUUUGGGUGGAAAACCCAUGCGCGUAAUGAAAGUGAAAGUUGAGAUCCCUGUAAUAAGGGGAGCAUUGACGCCCGGACCAGACCUUCUGUGACGGAUCCGCGGUAGAGCAUGUAUGUUGGGACCCGAAAGAUGGUGAACUAUGCCUGAAUAGGGUGAAGCCAGAGGAAACUCUGGUGGAGGCUCGUAGCGAUUCUGACGUGCAAAUCGAUCGUCAAAUUUGGGUAUAGGGGCGAAAGACUAAUCGAACC
rnacentral:rRNA from 1 species